AUAGACACACAUGUAAAUGAUAUAUAAAGUAUAUGGGCAUCACAGGAGACAGGAAGAUCUGUACUGAAGAUAAAGACAAUAUUAUACUGUUGAAAAAUAAGUAUAAACUCCCAGUUUAUGUGACCACACUUUAAAUGACCACACCUUGAUUUUGCCUACAGCGAAAUCAGUAUGGUCUUUAGGUUCCCUAGAUUUUACCAUUGUGGUUCUCACACAAGAGGUGUUUCAGCAAGUUCUGAACAUGCACAUUUGUCUCAGCAAUAAAAAUGAGGACUCCCUUUUUAUUUUCAGUACUGAUGUUCAAAACAAGCUUCCCCACAUGGGAGCAUUGUUCACUCUAUCAGAUUUGUUAUUAGAGUGGUCCCGACUUUGCUUUAUGUUUGCAUACUGGUCUUCAGAUGAGAGGGGACAGUGAAAUCAUCAUGGUACUGCUUUUGUGACAAACACCAGUGCCUUACCAAUGUGGUUGUCCUUUUCAACUGAAGAGGGAAAGUUUGUUUUGUUUUGUUUUUGAUGUAGAAAUGGCAGUUUGCUGCUGUUGCUUUUCCACUGCCUUCCACAUUGCAACAGCUACUUGACUUGUCUUGUGAUCCCAGAAUUCCCUAAGAGGUCACAUUGAGCCUGUGACAGCACUGUCAGUGCUUGGCUUCUCAGACUUGAGGAUGCCUCUGUCACCUGGGAGUUUACAAAAUGAGACUCUAGGUGUGCAGGAAGUCUGCCUGCAAAGUGGGAUCUGCAGCAUGUUUAACAGGUGGGGUGAUGCUGCUUUGGGAGAGCUGGGCUUGUGUAGAGAGCACUGCCUGGGACCCAUGCAUUUUUGCCUCCAGAAAAUCUACAAAGUUUCCUCGGUUUUUAAAACAUGUAAAUGUUUACUUAUCCUGAGUAUAGCGAGAAGGGGAGGGUAUUUUAAGUUUUUGUUGUAUUUCUUUAAACUUUUCUUUAAAAAUACUGGUUUGAUUCACUUAUCUGAGUUAGCUUCCAUGUUGAAUCUGUUGCCAUUUUAGUAGUAAAACCAGCCAAAAGUUUCUAGACAAAGGGCAGGUUUGACCCUUUAAGAGUUACUGUAUAUAAUGGCUUCAUUCAAGAGCCACGCAGCGUCCAUGAGCAAGUGCAGAAACGACACAAGCACACUCUCCAGAUGCCGCGGGACUCUUUCCUUUUUGGUGUACAGACUCUCACCAAAAGCUGCUGUUUUCUUUCUUGUAAUUGUUUCCUCGCUUCUCCUCCAUUGUACAUGUGGGGUAUAUGCCAUGUGUCAAAUAUGCAAUAACGUGUUUACCGGAUGCCCUUCUGAAGGGUGGUCCUCUGUAAAGCUGUACAGACUUUGCAGUCCAAGCACAAUGUGCACAUGUUAGUUUUAUAUACAGCGAAACUUGAUUUUUUCAAAUGGAAAGGUAUUUUGUUUCUAUACAAAGUUUAAUGGGUUGUUUGUGCUUAAUGUAAAACUGCUUUAUA
rnacentral:lncRNA from 1 species